GGUGGACUGGCCAUCUAGCAUUUCGGGCAAAUGCCAGAUGGGCUGGUCCAUUUUUAGCCCAGUAGACCUGUCUAACAUGUUGUUGUUUUUUGCACAAAGUUAUCAUUAUCUGGCUAAUAAUAGGGGCCUAUGUGGGGGACUCAAGGAAGAGAAUGGAACAAUGUGGGGGGCUCAAGGAAAAUAAUGGGCCGAUGUGGGGGACUCAAGGAAGAGAAUGGAACAAUGUGGGGGGCUCAAGGAAAAGAAUGGGCCGAUGUUGGGGGCUCAAGGAAGAGAAUGGGCCAGUGUGUUAGAAAUUUCAGGGCCGAUUUUUGGUCCCAAUCUGCCCCUGGCCUGCAGCAAUAAUAAGGUGAUAUGCUAUAUUUAAUGGGAUGAAUGCAAUGUCAUCUCAUUCACAAAAUUGUGCCACUUUCCCACGGUCACAGUGGGGUUGGACCACAAAGAGCCAAAAAGUCUCUGUCAACACGUUUAAAAACAUGCCUUUCAGCUCACAUGUAUGCUUAUUCGUCAUUAGGAGUUUACCUUUGGGAAAUCCAUGCAAUCCAAUUAACUCAAACAACUAAGACACAGAAUGAAAACAAACAUGUUGUCCUCGCAUCUUCCUCGUGGUAUGUUUCUGUAGCCUACUAGUCUGCUAUAUGGGGAUUAAUGACAUAAAGGGACGUGUGUGUGACUUCUUUAUUAGAUGGGUGUCUGAUAAAGGAGCUAAACCAAGAUGACUAAAUCAACCCAGGGGUUUCUAUUCAGCACCUUGGACAGCACCUUCCACUACAAGCGCAGUACAUAGGUUAUCUGCCUCUCUCUUGACCGAACAGUAGAUUAUCCGUUCCGCCUAGCCCUAGGUGGAAAACACAACAAUUACAAACAGACAUGGCAAAAUCAGCAGCUAUCUUGCUGGUGUUCAUUUCCUUUUUGUACAUCCUAUCUCAAUCAGCCCAUGUGGUGGCAGGAUGGACAGACGAAAGGCUUCCAAAGGCUGAAGUUAUAGAGGACUCUAGGGAACUGCUGGGUGUCCUUCAUAACAUCCUGGAGAAACUCCAAAACAGAAGAAUGGCUGUGUGGGAAAGAAGACAAAGCCACCUUCCUAGUUGUAUUGUCGGUGACUACUGCACAGUGAAAAAGGGACCACGGUACGGCCAACUAUGUGACUGUCCAAGAGGAUCAAAGUGCAACCUCUUCUUCCUCAAGUGUUUGUGAUUUAUUUUUGUUAUGGUAUUACUUCAUUUAUUUCUGUCUGAAAUAUAGUAGGAUUUUGAAAUUUCGCUUCGCUAACUUCUAAUAUAUAUCCUUCUUCUGACCUGUUCCAUCCAUGUGUUCUUUGAUUUGCCUCUCAUUCUACCAUUCUGGUUGUUGUGCAUUCAGCACAGAUAUGAAGGUAAGCUCUGUAAUUAUGAAAAAGAGGGGCUCUUUUUUAAAUAAAAAUGUUGAUUAAUAAA